UUCUGGGAACCAUGAGCAAGUGGUAAAGUAAUCAACGGUUCCCUCUUACCCCACCCCGUGUUUCAUGAGCAAGAAAAAUUUUGCUGGAAGAAAGAAAGAAGGAGAAACAUGAUUUGAAGCUGUGCCUUUUUCCUCCCCCCUGGCUUUUUUUGAAAUGACAUCAGUGGGUUGUUUGCCAAGCAUAACCUGGCAGCCCGGCGGCUCUGCCUGGCUGCCUGAGAUUUCUGGGGACCGAGCAGCUUGCCAGCUCCAGCCAUGGCAGCGUGCCAAGGUGACGUUCCGUGACUAAGCAGAAACGAGGGAGAGGGAGAGAGGGAGGAAAAAGACCCCUGUGGGCCUUGGGUGCAGGCCCAGGUCAGCAGCAGCUUUCCUGGCCUGCUUCCCUUCCAGAGACGAGGCCGCCAAGCAGAACUUCCUUGCCUGUUUCUGCUGGGUCCCUCUGAGCCUGCUUCUCCUACUUGGAGCUGCUUCUCCAGAAGCAGGCGUCUUGGGUUUGCACCUUCCUCUUUCCGUCCAGUCCGCCGCCUUCCCCGUGGGCCUCUCUGGUUGGCUCCAGCCCCCUUGGUCCAUUGGCCUGUGCACCUGCUGCUCUGUGCGCUCUCCGCCUAGCUCCCCGUGAAGAUGCAGCAGGGGAAGCACUGAGGCCAC
rnacentral:lncRNA from 1 species